rnacentral:rRNA from 1 species
UACGAAGGGGGGCUAGCGUUGCUCGGAAUCACUGGGCGUAAAGCGCACGUAGGCGGAUUUUUAAGUCAGGGGUGAAAUCCUGGAGCUCAACUCCAGAACUGCCUUUGAUACUGGGAAUCUCGAGUCCGGGAGAGGUGAGUGGAACUGCGAGUGUAGAGGUGAAAUUCGUAGAUAUUCGCAAGAACACCAGUGGCGAAGGCGGCUCACUGGCCCGGUACUGACGCUGAGGUGCGAAAGCGUGGGGAGCAAACAGGAGUU